CGUGUCAUUAAUCAGUUGAGAGAAGAGAACUCAAAUCUAAAAAGAGAGAACGAUAGGCUGAAAAAUGAAAUACUUGAAAAAAUCCCACCUCUCCUUCAGGCUACAGAGCAUUUACUUACCAAGCCCAUGAAAAUGAAUGCAGAUCUUCCUGAUAUGUCAAAGUCUCAACCUGAUGCUGCCCUCCCUCAUCCUCCUAAAGUAAGUAUUAGUUGUUGU